rnacentral:rRNA from 1 species
CGGACGGGUGAGUAACACGUGGGUAACCUGCCCAUAAGACUGGGAUAACUCCGGGAAACCGGGGCUAAUACCGGAUAACAUUUUGAACUGCAUGGUUCGAAAUUGAAAGGCGGCUUCGGCUGUCACUUAUGGAUGGACCCGCGUCGCAUUAGCUAGUUGGUGAGGUAACGGCUCACCAAGGCAACGAUGCGUAGCCGACCUGAGGGGGUGAUCGGCCACACUGGGACUGAGACACGGCCCAG